CCCGUACACAAAAAUGCACAUGCUGUGAGCUCGAUGAGUAGGGCGGGACACGUGGUAUCCUGUCUGAAUAUGGGGGGACCAUCCUCCAAGGCUAAAUACUCCUGACUGACCGAUAGUGAACCAGUACCGUGAGGGAAAGGCGAAAAGAACCCCGGCGAGGGGAGUGAAAAAGAACCUGAAACCGUGUACGUACAAGCAGUGGGAGCACAGAGCAAUCUGUGUGACUGCGUACCUUUUGUAUAAUGGGUCAGCGACUUAUAUUCUGUAGCAAGGUUAACCGAAUAGGGGAGCCGAAGGGAAACCGAGUCUUAACUGGGCGUUAAGUUGCAGGGUAUAGACCCGAAACCCGGUGAUCUAGCCAUGGGCAGGUUGAAGGUUGGGUAACACUAACUGGAGGACCGAACCGACUAAUGUUGAAAAAUUAGCGGAUGACUUGUGGCUGGGGGUGAAAGGCCAAUCAAACCGGGAGAUAGCUGGUUCUCCCCGAAAGCUAUUUAGGUAGCGCCUCGUGAAUUCAUCUCCGGGGGUAGAGCACUGUUUCGGCAAGGGGGUCAUCCCGACUUACCAACCCGAUGCAAACUGCGAAUACCGGAGAAUGUUAUCACGGGAGACACACGGCGGGUGCUAACGUCCGUCGUGAAGAGGGAAACAACCCAGACCGCCAGCUAAGGUCCCAAAGUCAUGGUUAAGUGGGAAACGAUGUGGGAAGGCCCAGACAGCCAGGAUGUUGGCUUAGAAGCAGCCAUCAUUUAAAGAAAGCGUAAUAGCUCACUGGUCGAGUCGGCCUGCGCGGAAGAUGUAACGGGGCUAAACCAUGCAC
rnacentral:rRNA from 1 species